ensembl:lncRNA
UGCUGUGAUGAUGCUAUUGAGCAAAACGUCCUUUUGAGAUGAUCAUGGUUGGACAUUUGCUCUACGGCGUUAAUGCAGGUCAGCUGAUUUUCAUCUUAUGAAUUGAUAUCAUUAUUUUACUGUAGGCCACAAAACAAGGUCAUCUUUAUACCUGUCUUUUAAUAUCUCACUAGAGGAAUUAUGCUGCCAAACCGUGUCUGUGAUAUGGUUUGUCCUUUCCAGUGUGUGCUGCAGGUGUUAGCCUCAGUCUCCACCCAAUGUGGUGAUGUAAUGUGCCCUUUAAAGGCUGUGAGGAAUGGUGGUUUGUGUCUGCCGCCACCUCAGCUUCUGGGGAUCAGUGAGUUAUUGGGGACAGAGGACAGGUGGCAGUGGUUGCUGGGCUUCAGUGGUGCGACCUCCCUGCUCUAGCCUGCCACCCUGCCACUCCUCCCAGAGUCACCCCGAUACCUGCUGCUGGACCGGGGCGACCAACAGGGCUGUGAGAAAAGUAAGCACCUGUGUGGAGCUCUCUGAGGAAUAUGGACAGCCAUCCGCAGGCUGUGGGGCAGCAGAGACCACAGUGUGGAGGUGGAGAGAUGCUGGUGGAGAACGCCUCCCUGAAGGGGUUCCGCAGCCACACUGGUGGACCAGGCCCGUACACUGGCAACUGCUCACCGUCCUCGUCACCUUCAAUGCUAUGUGCCUUUACUAAUUUGACAUGUUCCAUAUGGCAAGGAUCCCCACCCACCAGUUGCGCCAUGUUGCCUUGGGAACCGGUCUGUGUGAGAUUUCCACCUCUGUGGACUGUGUGAGUCCUCUGUGGACUGUGUGCAGUUAACCAAUCGCUGCAGCUGUACAUAGUCUAUCGGUAAAUAGCCCACCCAUUUUUACCUACCUCAUCCCCAUACUGUUUUUAUUUAUUUACUUUUCUGCUCUUUUGCACACCAAUAUCUCUACCUGUACAUGACCAUCUGAUCAUUUAUCACUCCAGUGUUAUUAAUCUGCAAAAUUGUAAUUAUUUGCCUACCUCCUCAUGCCUUUCGCACACAAUGUAUAUAGACUCCCCUUUUUUUCUACUGUGUUAUUGACUUGUUAAUUGUUUACUCCAUGUGUAACUCUGUGUUGUCUGUUCACACUGCUAUGCUUUAUCUUGGCCAGGUCGCAGUUGCAAAUGAGAACUUGUUCUCAACUAGCCUACCUGGUUAAAUAAAGGUGAAAUAAAAAAUAAAAUAAAAUAUUCAACCCCUUUGUUAUGGCAAGCCUAAAUAAGUUCAGGAUAUAAUUAUCUGUAAGGUCUUUCAGUCGAGCAGUAAUUUUCAAACAGAGAAUUAACCACAAAGACCAGGGAGGUUUUCCAAUGCCUAACAAAGAAGGGUACCGAGAACAAGGAAACCGGCCAGGGAUUUCCCCAUAAGGCCGAAGGUGGCUUUAAAAGUUAGAGUUUAAUUGCUGUGGUAGGAGGAAACUGAGGAUGGAUCACUAACAUUGUAGUUACUCCAAUAUUAACCUAAAUGACAGAGUGGAAUUAAGGAAGCCUGUACAGAAUAAAGAUUAUCCAAAACAUGCAUCCUGUUUGCAAUAAGGCACUGAAGUAAAACUGCAAAAAAUGUGGCGAAGGAAUUAACUUUAUGUCCUGAAUACGAAGCGUUAUGUUUUGGGCAAAUCCAACACAGCACAUCACUGAGUACCACACUUCAUAAUUUCAAACAUGGUGGUGGCUGCAUCAUGUUAUGUGUAUGCUUGUCAUCGGCAAGGACUAGGGAGUUUUUUCUGAUAAAAAGGAACUGAAUAGAGCUAAGCACAGGCAAAAUCCUGUUUGGUCUGUAGUCCAACAGACAAUGGCCAAUGCUCAACAACCAACUUCACAGAGCUUGAAGAAUUUUUACUCCGGAAGACUGCCAAAGGUAAUUAACAUGUAUUGACUCAAGGGUGUGAAUACCUAUCUGAAUGAG